GAGUUAUCUGAACCUUCGGGGAACGAUAACGGCGUCGAGCGGCGGACGGGUGAGUAAUGCCUAGGAAAUUGCCCUGAUGUGGGGGAUAACCAUUGGAAACGAUGGCUAAUACCGCAUGAUGCCUACGGGCCAAAGAGGGGGACCUUCGGGCCUCUCGCGUCAGGAUAUGCCUAGGUGGGAUUAGCUAGUUGGUGAGGUAAGGGCUCACCAAGGCGACGAUCCCUAGCUGGUCUGAGAGGAUGAUCAGCCACACUGGAACUGAGACACGGUCCAGACUCCUACGGGAGGCAGCAGUGGGGAAUAUUGCACAAUGGGCGCAAGCCUGAUGCAGCCAUGCCGCGUGUGUGAAGAAGGCCUUCGGGUUGUAAAGCACUUUCAGUCGUGAGGAAGGUGGUGUAGUUAAUAGCUGCAUUAUUUGACGUUAGCGACAGAAGAAGCACCGGCUAACUCCGUGCCAGCAGCCGCGGUAAUACGGAGGGUGCGAGCGUUAAUCGGAAUUACUGGGCGUAAAGCGCAUGCAGGUGGUUUGUUAAGUCAGAUGUGAAAGCCCGGGGCUCAACCUCGGAAUAGCAUUUGAAACUGGCAGACUAGAGUACUGUAGAGGGGGGUAGAAUUUCAGGUGUAGCGGUGAAAUGCGUAGAGAUCUGAAGGAAUACCGGUGGCGAAGGCGGCCCCCUGGACAGAUACUGACACUCAGAUGCGAAAGCGUGGGGAGCAAACAGGAUUAGAUACCCUGGUAGUCCACGCCGUAAACGAUGUCUACUUGGAGGUUGUGGCCUUGAGCCGUGGCUUUCGGAGCUAACGCGUUAAGUAGACCGCCUGGGGAGUACGGUCGCAAGAUUAAAACUCAAAUGAAUUGACGGGGGCCCGCACAAGCGGUGGAGCAUGUGGUUUAAUUCGAUGCAACGCGAAGAACCUUACCUACUCUUGACAUCCAGAGAACUUUCCAGAGAUGGAUUGGUGCCUUCGGGAACUCUGAGACAGGUGCUGCAUGGCUGUCGUCAGCUCGUGUUGUGAAAUGUUGGGUUAAGUCCCGCAACGAGCGCAACCCUUAUCCUUGUUUGCCAGCGAGUAAUGUCGGGAACUCCAGGGAGACUGCCGGUGAUAAACCGGAGGAAGGUGGGGACGACGUCAAGUCAUCAUGGCCCUUACGAGUAGGGCUACACACGUGCUACAAUGGCGCAUACAGAGGGCGGCCAACUUGCGAAAGUGAGCGAAUCCCAAAAAGUGCGUCGUAGUCCGGAUUGGAGUCUGCAACUCGACUCCAUGAAGUCGGAAUCGCUAGUAAUCGUGGAUCAGAAUGCCACGGUGAAUACGUUCCCGGGCCUUGUACACACCGCCCGUCACACCAUGGGAGUGGGCUGCAAAAGAAGUAGGUAGUUUAACCUUCGGGGGGAC
rnacentral:rRNA from 1 species